GCCGAAGUGGUGGAAUUGGCAGACGCGCUGCGUUCAGGGCGCAGUGGGCCCAGCGCCCGUGCGGGUUCGAGUCCCGCCUUCGGCA
rnacentral:tRNA from 1 species